rnacentral:misc_RNA from 1 species
AAAGGAAUUGAAUUUCUUAUCAAUGCUAAUAAGGUGGGAAGUUCACCUGAGGAGAUAGCUGCAUUUCUUAAAGAUGCGUCUGGUUUGGACAAGACUCUGAUUGGUGAUUAUUUAGGGGAGAGGGAAGACUUAUCACUUAAAGUAAUGCAUGCAUAUGUGGAUUCCUUUGACUUUCAAGGAUUGGAGUUUGAUGAGGCUAUUAGAGCACUCCUUAAAGGUUUUAGGUUGCCCGGUGAGGCACAAAAGAUUGAUCGUAUUAUGGAAAAGUUUGCCGAGCGUUAUUGCAAGUGUAAUCCAAA